AAGUAACGCUAAUGGUGCAAAAGAAAGGAAUCGGGAGCGGAGGUACAGCAGAUGAAGCGUUGCCUCAAGUUGUCCAGUGCGAACCUGAAGGCCACAUUGACAGCUGCGACAUGGAGCUCCCGUGCCCACAUAGAGAAGAAAGUGCGCAACCUGAUGUGUCCUCACUAAGUGAACUACAAAUACAAUACCGGGAAGGUUUCCAGGAAGCCGCAGCGACAAAUUCUUGCAACACACAGGAGGCUGCAUCUGAAGCACUGGAGGA